CGGUGGUUUAAUCGAAGAAGAAGACUCCUACCGGGAGUCUUCUUCCCGGUUCCCCUGUUCUUGUUUUUUGUUUUUUUUUUUAAAUUGGGUCUUGGGUCUUCUCAAUUGGGCUUGGGCUUGGGCUAUAACAGCCUCUUCUUUGUAAAAGUUCUUGAAGCACAAGGUGGUAGGUUCCACUGCCACGCAUACCUGUUUUCAAGUCAGGUGCUGGUGGUAUGCUCAUGUAAUUGCUCAACCUAGCUACACCUUGAAAGGGGAAAAAAAAGGCACCAAC
rnacentral:lncRNA from 1 species